GACGAACGCUGGCGGCGCGCUUAAUACAUGCAAGUCGAGCGAGAACCAGGGCUUCGGCCCUGGGGACAGCGGCGAACGGGUGAGUAACACGUGGAUAACCUACCCUCGGCACCGGAAUAGCCCGGGGAAACUCGGAUUAAUGCCGGAUAGCCCCACAUCCUCUCGAGGAACGUGGGAAAAGGUAGCUUCGGCCUCUGGCCGGGGAUGGGUCCGCGGUGGAUUAGCUUGUUGGUGCGGGUAAUGGCCCACCAAGGCGACGAUCCAUAGCUGGUCUGAGAGGACGAUCAGCCACACUGGGACUGAGACACGGCCCAGACUCCUACGGGAGGCAGCAGUAGGGAAUCUUGCGCAAUGGGCGAAAGCCUGACGCAGCGACGCCGCGUGCGGGAA
rnacentral:rRNA from 1 species